rnacentral:rRNA from 1 species
GCAGCAGUGGGGAAUAUUGGACAAUGGGGGCAACCCUGAUCCAGCCAUGCCGCGUGUGUGAAGAAGGCCCUCGGGUUGUAAAGCACUUUCAGCGAGGAAGAACGCCUGCCGGUUAAUACCCGGCAGGAGAGACAUCACUCGCAGAAGAAGCACCGGCUAACUCCGUGCCAGCAGCCGCGGUAAUACGGAGGGUGCAAGCGUUAAUCGGAAUUACUGGGCGUAAAGCGCGCGUAGGUGGCUUGAUAAGCCGGUUGUGAAAGCCCCGGGCUCAACCUGGGAACGGCAUCCGGAACUAUUAGGCUAGAGUGCAGGAGAGGAAGGUAGAAUUCCCGGUGUAGCGGUGAAAUGCGUAGAGAUCGGGAGGAAUACCAGUGGCGAAGGCGGCCUUCUGGACUGACACUGACACUGAGGUGCGAAAGCGUGGGUAGCAAACAGGAUUAGAUACCCUGGUAGUCCACGCCGUAAACGAUGUCGACCAGCCGUUGGGUGCCUAGCGCACUUUGUGGCGAAGUUAACGCGAUAAGUCGACCGCCUGGGGAGUACGGCCGCAAGGUUAAAACUCAAAUGAAUUGACGGGGGCCCGCACAAGCGGUGGAGCAUGUGGUUUAAUUCGAUGCAACGCGAAGAACCUUACCUACCCUUGACAUCCUGCGAACUUGUGAGAG